ACAUAGGGUGCAAGCGUUGUCCGGAAUUAUUGGGCGUAAAGAGCUCGUAGGUGGUUCGAUACGUCGGAUGUGAAAAUCAGGGGCUCAACCCCUGACCUGCAUCCGAUACGGUCGAGCUGGAGUUUGGUAGGGGAGACUGGAAUUCCUGGUGUAGCGGUGGAAUGCGCAGAUAUCAGGAGGAACACCGAUGGCGAAGGCAGGUCUCUGGGCCAAUACUGACACUGAGGAGCGAAAGCGUGGGGAGCGAACAGGAUUAGAUACCCUGGUAGUCCACGCCGUAAACGGUGGGCACUAGUUGUGGGGACCUUCCACGGUCUCUGCGACGCAGCUAACGCAUUAAGUGCCCCGCCUGGGGAGUACGAUCGCAAGAUUA
rnacentral:rRNA from 1 species